UGCUCGUCUAGACUAAUUAAUAAUAUUUCGUGCCUAGCGCUAAGUUAUACAAAGGCAGCCGGCGAAAAGCGGCAAAAUAUCAGCAGCAAUAAACAAAAUAAAUUCGCUGGCAUUUGUUUCAUGUUAAAAUGGGGAAAAAAUUGGAAACUGAGCCCUGAACUGAAAGAGCCCUCAUUGUCUCCUGGGCCCACACAAACUGAGAUUAAUACGCAGAUUACAACCAAGUUAUAAUUACUGGCGUCCCGAAGCGAAAAUAGGGGAGUAGAGCUGAGUAAAUUGAGCUGUCAAGUGUGCAGAUGAAAGGAGAUCGUGAAAUGGGUUUGAUUAGGUUCCUUUGGCUCAAGUCUAAAGUCGAGGUCUCGCUGAGGUUAAAGAAUCCCAUCUCCUAGCAAAAAUGCCUUUCUGCAAACAUUUAUGCUGCUUUCGAAAAAUUGGGAAGUCAAGAAACCGAUUUUGGGACCAUUUACAUCAACUGCCUAUUGGAUUUCCUGGAAAAACAAUUAUUAUUAUUAUUAGGGUCUCGUUUGUGAGGCCAUGGAAAUUGCGUGUAAUCGCCAAGCGAAAAGCGAAACUGAGUACCAAUGCCUACACUAAUGGCGUUUUAUUUUUCGCUAGACUACGAACUCAAUUAGCUGCCGUGCGUAGCGUAAUUAAGUUGAUGCCACGCCCAAUUCGAUAACCUAAACCUCUUCGGCCGCCCACUACCUGCCACCUCUACCGCCCACUAAAUGAUCCAGUUUUAUGCCACCUGACGUCGCCUGGCGAUGUGUAUGCAAAAACAUUACACGAAAUGCUUUGGAGCUGCCUUAAAUUAAUUUAUCACGUGCCGAAAUAAAGCAACUACCGGUGGCUUCCUUCCCCUGCA